rnacentral:misc_RNA from 1 species
AACGCACCUUGCGCCCCUUGGCUAUUCCGAGGGGCAUGCCUGUUUGAGUAUCAUGAACACCUCAACUCUCAUGGUUUGCCGUGAUGAGCUUGGACUUUGGGGGUUUUGCUGGCCUGCGGUCAGCUCCUCUCAAACAGAUCAGCUUGCCAGUGUUUGGUGGCGUCACAGGUGUGAUAACUGUCUGCGCUUGUGGCUGUCUGCCAGGUGACCUUCAGUGAUGAAGGCUUGCUGGAGCUUCCAAACGUCUCUCCUGAGUGAAGACAGCUUUUUGAUCGUUCGAUCUCAAAUCAGGUAGGACUACCCGCUGAACUUAA